CAACACUGCCUGACUAUAAGACUGCUGGUAUCAUUCUGGAGGGCACCAUGUACAUGCAUGCACCCAUGUGACCAGCAUACAAACAGGCAGGGUGGUGGGAGCAGCCCUGGCAGCUGAAAGCAGAUUUAUGCAGUAUCAGAGUUGUCCCAGCAUGCACAAAGGGUGUGUCUUCUCUCACACUGAGGUCAACAGGAGCGCUAAGAAUCUUUGAAAAUAAGGCCUGAAUGGAUGAAUUUACCCUUGGUGUUACUCCACUAACUACAGUAUGACUGCAUUAGGGACACAUUUGUCAAACUCCAUUGAAUAAAGUUCCCAAAAAUUGUUGGGAUGGAGUCUCAAUGCCAGAUGGGAAAGUUAUUAAAAAUUUCAAAUAUUCUUGUGGGAUGGGAAAAUGAUCUCCCACCUGAUUUUUAUCCUUGACUACAGCAGGAUUCACUGGUCAACAGCCCCUGUUUAUCAAAGUGGUGUUAAGCUUUGAGAACCCAGGUGACUUCUUGCUAAAACAUGAAGGCUAUUAACUGCAACAUCACCCCCACACACAGUCUUCAUACCAAUCCUGGAAGAGUAACACCGCUCCUGCAUAAAA